GUUGCUCUUAAAGGGGAACCGGGGCUUGCGGUUCUCAGGAGGGAUGAACCUAUGAGCAAAGGCCUCCUGAAGAGACUGUGCAAGAAGCUUGUGCAGAAAGAAGAAAGAAGAUACCUAAAAGACAUAGGUGAAAAAGCAAGCACAGAAAGGACCAGGUGUGCAAUAGAGCACUAACUAGAAGAGAAGGUUCAGCACUGCAACUAUAUGACGCAUCUGGGGAACUAUCAUAAUAGAAAACUCAUAAGCCUGAA